GACGAACGCUGGCGGCGUGCCUAACACAUGCAAGUCGAACGGAACUGUUUUGAAAGUUUUCUUCGGACUGAAUUUGCUUUCGUUUAGUGGCGGACGGGUGAGUAACGCGUGAGUAACCUGCCUUCAAGAGGGGAAUAACAUUCUGAAAAGAAUGCUAAUACCGCAUGACAUAUCGGAACCACAUGGUUUUGUUAUCAAAGAUUUUAUCGCUUGAAGAUGGACUUGCGUCCGAUUAGUUAGUUGGUGAGGUAACGGCUCACCAAGACCGCGAUCGGUAGCCGGACUGAGAGGUUGAACGGCCACAUUGGGACUGAGACACGGCCCAGACUCCUACGGGAGGCAGCAGUGGGGGAUAUUGCGCAAUGGGGGCAACCCUGACGCAGCAACGCCGCGUGAAGGAUGAAGGUUUUCGGAGUGUAAACUUCUUUUAUUAAGGACGAAAAAUGACGGUACUUAAUGAAUAAGCUCCGGCUAACUACGUG
rnacentral:rRNA from 1 species